AAUCCUGUCUUAUGACUCGUUACAAAUUUGUUAAGCUUGCAAAUUCAAUCCCGAUCUAAUUGAUGAGACCAGUCCAUGAUUAAGCAUAUUAGAGAAUGCUCUGGAUUUCCCUGUAAGUAAUCCACCAUAUUCAGUUUCUGAGUGGGAUUCACAGGGAUGACUUGGUCAUUAAUGCUGGCACCAAUGCUGGAGCUCAUCUGGUUGAUGGACUCGGAGACGGUGUCUUGUUAGAAUCCCUGGACCAGGAUUUUGAUUUCCUCAGAAAUACUUCUUUCAACUUACUGCAGUGCUGUAGAAUGAGGAAUACCAAGACAGUAUGAAUCUUAUCUUUGAGGGGAAAAAGAAGAGUUACAACUUCAAAAUAUUACGAAGUAACAACAGUCUUAGAAAUUUAUAUGUAAUAAUCCUGAACUCUAGUUGGAGGAAUAUGUUCCAUGCCCAUCUUGUGACCUUCAAGAAAUAAAUUGCAAUCAUGGGUUGCAUCGUCAAUGGCCCAAGGGAAUGGCUGAUGUAGAUUUCGGAUACGUUGGUGGUGCUCCUGGAAAAAUCGACCUUUAUGUUGGCAAGUGAAGCGUGGAAUUGCGAUGGGGCAUGCCGCUGAUGCGUUUAUCCAAUUAAUAAAAGAUCAUGGCCGCUGGGUAGACCCUCCUGCUGAAGAAUAAGUUUAGGAGGUUCGAGUUUGGAGACUGCAGCAGGCAUCGGCCGUCCCCAUCUUUGUAUACCGGUAUUCUCAACACAUGAAUCCACAUACAAGUUAAUAAGAGCAGUACUUAACCAAAAAAAUAACAGCAGUAGAAAUACCAGCACGUUGUGUUCGUAUUGACUAUGGGCUUACCGUACCUCAAUACGUUGUGAAAUGUUAAGAAGACAGUUCUGCAGGGUAUUAUUCCCCAAAAUAUAUAAAGUACGCAUACCAUUUUUUUGGAUU